UAGAGUUUUGAUCCUGGCUCAGGAUGAACGCUGGCGGCGUGCUUAACACAUGCAAGUCGAACGAUGAAGCCCAGCUUGCUGGGUGGAUUAGUGGCGAACGGGUGAGUAACACGUGAGUAACCUGCCCUUAACUCUGGGAUAAGCCUGGGAAACUGGGUCUAAUACCGGAUAGGAGCGCCCACCGCAUGGUGGGUGUUGGAAAGAUUUAUCGGUUUUGGAUGGACUCGCGGCCUAUCAGCUUGUUGGUGAGGUAAUGGCUCACCAAGGCGACGACGGGUAGCCGGCCUGAGAGGGUGACCGGCCACACUGGGACUGAGACACGGCCCAGACUCCUACGGGAGGCAGCAGUGGGGAAUAUUGCACAAUGGGCGCAAGCCUGAUGCAGCGACGCCGCGUGAGGGAUGACGGCCUUCGGGUUGUAAACCUCUUUCAGUAGGGAAGAAGCGAAAGUGACGGUACCUGCAGAAGAAGCACCGGCUAACUACGUGCCAGCAGCCGCGGUAAUACGUAGGGUGCGAGCGUUAUCCGGAAUUAUUGGGCGUAAAGAGCUCGUAGGCGGUUUGUCGCGUCUGUCGUGAAAGUCCGGGGCUUAACCCCGGAUCUGCGGUGGGUACGGGCAGACUAGAGUGCAGUAGGGGAGACUGGAAUUCCUGGUGUAGCGGUGGAAUGCGCAGAUAUCAGGAGGAACACCGU
rnacentral:rRNA from 1 species